rnacentral:rRNA from 1 species
UACGUAGGGAGCAAGCGUUAUCCGGAUUUAUUGGGUGUAAAGGGCGCGUAGACGGGAAGGCAAGUUGGUUGUGAAAUCCCUCGGCUUAACUGAGGAACUGCAACCAAAACUAUCUUUCUUGAGUGCUGGAGAGGAAAGUGGAAUUCCUAGUGUAGCGGUGAAAUGCGUAGAUAUUAGGAGGAACACCAGUGGCGAAGGCGACUUUCUGGACAGUAACUGACGUUGAGGCACGAAAGUGUGGGGAGCAAACAGG